GUCAAAGGCAGCAAUUAAAAAUAAGUUUUAGGACUGUCAUUUUACUUGGAUGCUUGUCCAUUAAGUAGCCAGUGCUCUUUUUUGGAUGUUUUCAUGUAGGGUGGUUUUGAGAAAAUAGUUUGUGUGAAGUCAUACAGGACAGCAAUUGGUCCCAAGGGAGCAAAUUGAAUAGCUAUAAAGAAUAUAUUUCCUGAGUAUAAUGUUACUAUCUAAUAUCUUGUGUGUGUGAUCAACUAUCCCACAGCAUUAUCUAUAUUCUAGAGUCAGUUUACUGAAGUCCUAAGACAUCUAUGUUCCAGAUAAGUGGGGUUCCCCUAAACUUGUGAAAAUAUCCUCGAGAAAGCCAAUGCCAAUGCACCGAAUGCAACGAGUUUCAUUUCUAACCUGGGGGACUGAAUUAGCUGCUCCUCCUCAAGGCCCCACACAGCUGAGUUUGAGUCCUAAGUUUGGGAAGCAAGACAAGGCACAGAAGUGCCUGCUAGACUCGGACACUUCCUGAUGUCUAGAUUGUCCGGUGCCCAUGUCUUAGUGAAAGGUACAGCGACAGAACUAAGAGUGCAGAGAAGGCCAAAUCACGGACUUCAAUGUUGGCAAACCGGGUUUCCCUGGGAGAGAUCCAAGGAGAGUAACGCCCCCACAGUAUCAGGAGGCGCAGACACAGAUCACAUCGUUUGAGCUGAUUCACCAAAGAGUGCAGAGCCCUGACACAGGAGGCUACCAGGGCAGAACAAAACAAGCCAUCGUCUGCCCGGCGUCGCCCUUGUAGACGCACAGUGCGCAAACCGUGAAUGUGGGGCAGUGUGGGGCCAAGCGGUGCGCUUGGUACGCUCCAAAUGAGCCCUGGGCGAAGCAGGGAGGAAAUGCAGUUCCCAAGGGCCCGCCACAUUUCCCAUGUUCUUUAGCCUUCCACCGGCAAUUAGUGCCAUCACUUGCUUCCCGCUAGGUGACCACUUAACCUGCGGAAAGGCGUUCCAAGGGCGGGGCCUGCGGGAACCUAACACUCUUUCCACCACCCUCUCUCCCUGCCUCUGUGCACGACCUCGACCAGCUGGUCGCCUGAUCUCGUUUAGCAGGGCAGGAGCCUGUGUUCCCAUUUCUUACUAGCUGGGCUGCCGAUGACCUAGCUCAGCCUUGGUUUUCCUCCGGUUGAACAAAAGCUGGCAAGAGCUGCCUCCCGGAUCGCAGUGAGGACUCUAAGGGAACGAGGGCGAACGCGCUUUGGAAAGCCAGUUGCUGAGCAGAUGUCUGGAGAACUGACCCAAGAAGAAGGACCAACAAUUCAGGCUCAGGAAAGCCCACAAUUCCACAGGGGAACCAGGACUGCAUGGCUUCGAAUCCCAGCCCUCCCCACUCAGGAAACAUUGCUCCCCAAACGGCACGGAUUUCUGGACGCCUCCACCUUAAGACAGCUACUUCAGCCAGAACGUGGGACAGGCACUAACGGGAUAUCACCCUUGGGGAUAAACACGCUCCAGUUUCCUGUGGACGGUGGAAGAGGAAAGAACAGGAGAAGCUGCCAAAGGGAUGGGGUGUAGGAAGCUCAUCCUUGCACGUUUAGACUAGGGAAGAAGAGAAUAUUAGGGAUGGGGGAGGGGGGAGGAUGGGAAGUGUAGUUUUUCCCCUUCCUUCCUUUCAUUUCAGAUCCCAUUUAGUGCUUUUAUUUCUUUAAUUUUGAAAACUAUUUCCCUUUCCUGAAUCUGGAUGCGGGCAGGGAGCGAACUCAAGGAAAUGAUGAGCAUGGAUGAGAGCCAGGGGACAGGAGAUAUGUCCUGGGAACUCAAACUCUGCUGCUUCGCCACUGUCUCCGAGAUGCCCUGAGCCUUAGCCCAAUGUAAAGGGAGCUGAUUGGGUGUAUGGGCAGUGGCGGGUGGUCUGAGUAAGAAAUAAAAUGAGGGCAAGCCAGAUCUACUCCCAUCCCAAAGCAUUAAAAGACACACCUCCCCACCCCUCAGCUGUCUUGUGUCCGGCAGAAUGGCAUUAUGUAAAAGAUCUGGCAUGUCACCCAGUGGCACAUCUGGUAGGUGUAGAUGGCAUUCAUUAGCACGGGGCUUCUACUCUGCAGCAUGCCAAAGCUCUGACAGAGAUGCCCGCUGCCAAUCAUUCAUUGGCUGCCAAUCCCCAAGCGCGGCCGGGCGGGAUGGCUUCCUUCCACCCUGGCAUCAGGAGUGGAGGAAACAAUGUGUUGAGAUAGAAGAGAUGAAAGUGGAGCUGAGGAUGCGAGGCACCCAACAGAUGUAUCCCAUGAGGAGAUAACGGUGCUAAAAGUCAUUUAGCAAGAAAGCAUAUGCAGGAUCUCAGGAGGGAGGCUUGGGCAGGGGGUCUGCUUGCCUAGGGCUGAGCUGAAGGAAAAGCAGGGGAGCCCUUUCAGAAACCUGAAAGUUGAGGUUGCUUCUCUAAAAACACACAAAGACCAAAACCUCAACCCCCUAAGUGUAGGAUUUCCCCCUCUCUUUGGUUUGUCACUUGUAUCUCUUUUUAUCUAGCAACCUAACUACCUCUGUAAAGGUCAACCUUUGUCAUGUUUUUUUCUGAGGACCGAGAUGAAGAGCACCUUCCUGUUUUAAAUUUUGCAUAAUUCUCAUAGACUAGUAAUUUGGGGGCUAAGGGGAGGAAGACUGUCAGGCUAUCUUCAGUGCAUCGUAAAAGGCAAAGGUCUUAUUUCCAUUAUUAGCUUUUCAGAGGGGAUAAAGAUGAACAAAGGAAAGCAAGGAAAUUAUUAAAAUGGCAAAGGAAGAUUAAACACAAAAUCCAGGAUAGAGGUUGCCUUUGAGGUUGUUCUUUUUCUUAGGCUGGGUGGCAAUUAACAAAGUGUUCAGCGUAGUUUUUCUUUAUGCCAUAUACAUAUUUUACAUUCUUUUUAUCCAUUCACAACUUAAUAAAGCAACAACAAAACUCAGGGCUUUGAAAGUUUGUGGAACUUGGUGUUUAAGUUGACUCUAACUUAAGCUCUUUAGUUUAUAUAUAUAAUAUAUAUUUGUGUGUAUUAUCUAUACAAUUAUACUCUUUUUAGUAUAUGUUAUAAAAUAUUUGGGACAUAUACUAUAAAUUUAUUCAUAUUUUAUCUAAAACUGAAACUUUAGUUGGCCAUUACAUAUAUUUAUUUGCUAAAUCUAGCAACCUUGGGUAUGUUGGCUCAUGGUCACAAUAUAGCUGCUGUAAUUCCAAGCAUCAAACCAUCGUUUUAAACAUGAAGAAAGGAACAGGGGCAAAAAGCUGUGGUUGUUUGCUUAAUCAAUGAAAAGAAUACUUUCACUUUCAUUAGGCAGACCUGGAUCUCCUGGCCACAUAUACAUGCAAAAGAGUUUGGGAAAAUUAGCCUUUAAAGUAUAAAAAGAUAGCGAUAAAGGACUGGGGAUGGUUGUUGGGUUGCAAUCAAAGGUGUCUGACAAAGAAACCGAAGAUCAAAGAAGAGUUAAUGUUAACAUCAAACAAGAGUAUAGCUUAUCAAGUUUUUUCAUUGUUUUAAAUAAAAGUUUUCUGUUUUCAUUAUUGUGAUUAAAGGGAUACUGUUCUUGA
rnacentral:lncRNA from 1 species